rnacentral:rRNA from 1 species
UACGUAGGGAGCAAGCGUUGUCCGGAAUCAUUGGGCGUAAAGCGCGCGUAGGCGGCCCUGUAAGUCCGCUGUGAAAGUCAAAGGCUCAACCUUUGAAAGCCGGUGGAUACUGCAGGGCUAGAGUCCGGAAGAGGCGAGUGGAAUUCCUGGUGUAGCGGUGGAAUGCGCAGAUAUCAGGAGGAACACCAAUAGCGAAGGCAGCUCGCUGGGACGGUACUGACGCGUAAGGCGCGAAAGCGUGGGGAGCGAACAGG